rnacentral:rRNA from 1 species
UACGAAGGGGGCUAGCGUUGUUCGGAUUUACUGGGCGUAAAGCGCACGUAGGCGGAUCGUUAAGUCGGGGGUGAAAUCCUGGAGCUCAACUCCAGAACUGCCUUCGAUACUGGCGAUCUUGAGUCCGGAAGAGGUGAGUGGAACUCCUAGUGUAGAGGUGGAAUUCGUAGAUAUUAGGAAGAACACCAGUGGCGAAGGCGGCUCACUGGUCCGGUACUGACGCUGAGGUGCGACAGCGUGGGGAGCAAACAGG